UCCAAGGUAAUCAGCAGAGCAUGUAGCAGAGACGUGAACACAAGCGUGACUGGAAAGACAGUAGCUGAUGAAGAGGCACGCUGCCACAGGACGCGGGACAAAAUGCUGCUCCCACCGCCAGCUGAGGAGCGUGGCACUCUGCAGGACGUACUUCACUAACUCUGAUUUAUUGCUUUAAUUUCAAAUUAGUGUUCUUGUUAACCAUUCUCGUUUUCAUAUUGCCAAAACAGACUAGAAGAAGGAAUACUGAACAUUAAUCACAUCCCCAGGAUUGGAGCUCAGAAGGACAUAUGACAGUUUCCAAGACAUCUGCCUUCUGACGGGAUCGUGGCUGUAUUUGAAGUUAGCAGGGACAGCCCGAUAAUCAUAGAAGUCACUGUUGCUUUGCAGUCUCCAAGCAUAUGUCAGUCUCUUGUCUGUAAUUCAACCUGUCACUGCAUUAGGAAGCUUAUGGUCCAAGUUCUGAAUGGUAAGGGAAGUUGUAAACAAGAAGCAUGGGAGAACAGCUAAUACUGCACCAGUGCUCACAAAUAAUCUGCCCAAAAUGUGACUCAAGCCUCCAUAAGACACCGAAGCUCACGCCAGAGUUUUACAUAGUCGAAGCAGUGAGGUUGCUGGGACUCACAGAAGGAUGCUUGCUGCUAUCAGGGGGUGCAGAAGAAGAAAGAAACCUCACACUCCCACACCAACCCCCUUAGAGAGCCUGGUAUUGCCAGGGUCAGUCUUCUUGAUAUGCUGCACACUGAAACACGGCCAUGAUCUUGCUUUUUUGGCAAGGUUACUGAGAAAGCUCCAGAGAUCAUGGAAGUAUUGACAUUUGUCUAAUGCUAGGAGUUCAGAAACAAAAGACAAGCAAGCUGACAACCAGGUGGAGAAAGUCUAUUUUUACAGUUCCUUAUUCAUCUCAUCUGCUUAAGGCUCUAUAUGCACCAUCUAAAGCAAGUACUAAAGUUAGAGAAGCCUUUCAUAUCAGAUUUUGACAGAAGCUUUAUUUACCCAGAACGCCUUGUAUCAAAAUUUCAUAUUUUUAACUUUAUCCAUCUGAAGCGAAUGCUUAAACACAAAGGUUGAGCAACAUAGUUACACACUACAGGUUUAACAGGACUUCUUCCUUGUCACCAAUUUUCCAUCCGAUGACGUUCCUAUGGCUAUUUAGUAUGAUUUUUUUUUUUCUUCUUUGUGGAGAAAUUCAGAGGAUUCACAACUUCUCAAGCAGUGUAUUAGACAUACCUGUCUAUCCUUGAGGUACAGAAUAGAAAAAAGCAGUGCACUAUAAUCUUGAUGUUAGUAUACACACAAUUAUCUAAGUAUUUACAUCAGGUGCUUAAACAUCCCUUCCUUCUGCCCUCCCCCACCCACAACAGGUAGAACUGAACAUUGAAGUCAUCUCUUUUUUGGAACUAAGCCUAGGAAGACACCACUGGCUCCAAUUCUCAGGCUGGAGACCUGCCAAAGCAAAGCCUACGAACAGAAGCCAGGGGGAUGCCAAGUUAGCCCCAGAGCUUCAGACAGCACGGCCUCCUUAGCCCCGUUCAGCUCGAUACGCAGCAGCAUCAGGGAAGAGCCACGGACCUACAGCUUUGACGAGCUUUUCAAUUUAUCCGGAACCUCACAUCUUCGUUUAGGAGCUAUCUACCCAGAACAAAGCUCAUAAAGACUUCUGAGGCAUCAAAUAUUGUUAGGUACGUAAAGAAUUAAUGUGUGACUUUUCCUAUUGCAAUAUAUUUGUUAUAUUAGAGUAGCUGGGGUACUUAUUCCAUAAGUACAUCUGUCAUUUGUAAAACUCCCCCGAAAUUCAAUUCUUCAACCUCUUCCUCCUCUCCCGAGGAGCCUGAACUGCUGAUUACCUUCUGCAAGGCCACACACACACACAUUAGCACCCACAGGUGCCUAGGUGGCUAUCCUUUCCCCCCCUAACAUAUACAAUUUAGGCACUGCCAGUUAGAACUUCCUUAGUUCUCAUGUUAAAUUUUUCAUCUUGUACCAGUUUCACGUAAAAUGCAUGCAGAAGUGACAGGAGGUACCAACUAGAGAGGAGAAAGGAAGUUUCCAUUAGGAACAUAGCAGUGGACUAAAGCCUGAAGUCAGUGCUGACCUGCUUCUCAGCAGGAUGCUGGGACACUGAACAUCCCAGGGUUCCUGCCAACCAGAAUUAAUCUAGGAGUAUUUACUACUUUAUACCAAUUGAAGCUAGCCAGUUUCACACAACAAAGAAUGUGACAAGAUAUAAGAACAACAAUGCAGAUAAUGACAGAAAUACAACCGCUGCGAGUGCCAAAACAUUCUAAUAUAUCUUCGGUUACCAGCCACCACAUACACCUCUGCUAAGCUUGCAUUCAUUAUCUGCGUACAUAAAUACACCUACAAAGAAAAAGGGAUGCCACAAUGCUAAAACUGACAAAAAACACAAAUGAAACAACCCAGCUCCUACCCUGAAAAAAAGUUGUGCUGUUGUGGCAGGCAUCAUUUCUCCUCCUCGAAUACCAUAUUAGCACAAUUGCCAUGCAAUUUAACAUCAGGUCAUGUAGUCACUGAAGCGUGUCAAAUCAACUUUUACGUUACUAUCACCUUAAAGAAGCAUUACAAUUACAGUAACCACAUGUUCACAAGGACCAUACUUGGUUAUUUCCAUUCUAAUUUCUUGUAAUUUCUAUUUAAAUUUAUGAUACACACUGUACACAUAUGCACACAUGAAAUUUGCACACACGGACUUAUAUAAAGAGUAUUGUGCCAAAGCAUUCUGGAAACACCAAGUGAUUUACUAUUGACAAAAACAUCCAGAGUUUUCAGCACCAAAGUAUAAAACUCUUUAGGAGUAAAGGCGUUAUGGAUGCAAGACUGUAUUCAUACUGUAUAUCACCCAAUACUAAAGAUUUUUCUUCAUCUUUCUUUAACCUUUUAACCAAAUGUUAUAGUUGCAAUUUCCAAGUCUUUCCUCCUGGAUAGCUAACUCAAGAGGGAGGUAUAUUGCUGAGUACUCUGAACCAGAGAAAGGUAAGCCCUCAGGAAAGGUGAUGGGAAUACAUCUCCUUCCUGAGCUGAAAGACAGAGCUGCUGUUCAACAUCAGGAUGCCUCUAUGAGGCCAAGAGGAACCUUCUUUUUCUGUAUCACCCAAACCUGCAGGAACGUGAAACCACCACAUGAUUCUCUGCAUCUCUCCUUGUUUACCUUCCUGCUGUGGUUGGUCCCCUUUAUGCCCACAGUGGGGUUCUGCAGGCAAGCCUGGGCCAACACACGAGCUGUACGAGCACCUUACCCACCUUUCAGCCAGCUUCAGUAAAUUUAAGUUAAGUGCACCUGCCCUAAUUCUGUCACACUGAACUCCGUGGUGAACUUCUCCUGCUGAUUUCUUCAGGAUAUUUAGGGAGACUGGUCUCUAUGCUAAAUUUGAAAGACAGAUGCAGCACUCUGCUGCUUUUGAAAAGGUACCCAAAUAUAUUUGGGAUAGUUGUGUUUAGUACAUCUUUCGUCCUUUACACGUCUCCCUUAAAACAAAUUAGCAUAAUUCUGCCUUGCUAGGGAGGGACUAAUGUGGCACGGUUAUUAGAACUACUUUAAUGCCCAACGUGCCUCACACAGUAAAGGGCUCCGAGCAUUUACAUUACUCUAGUUCUCUUGAAGAAAGCCUGGGUCUUUAUAUUCCAUUAAUUUAUUCUUAAAAAAAAAAAUACUAAUUCUCACAUUUUUCUGAGCUAAGCAGUUCAUGCCUUUUCUUUCAGAAAGUGUUUGCUAAAUGAAAUAUUUUAAUCACUAAGUACACAGGGCAUCAGUAGCCACACCGUUUGACAGAGUUUAAAAACCUUGGUUCAGAGAGUCCUGAUGUGCCAUCCCACUGCGUUAUGUUACACGAUACAGUUACUUGGCUACAAGGAAAAGCUCAGAGCACAAGACCAGCAGACAGAGAGAAGAACCACGUGGAAGGGCCCUUUUCAGUACACGUCAGGCUUCUAAAUGCAGACCAGAGCCACGGUCUCUUUCCGAGUCCUAAAAUACCACACAGCUGGUGCAGUGAACUGCUCGGUCUGCCACAUGGAGUCACAGGAACAAGAGAAGUUCAUUCAAGGUUACCAGCAUCUGAAUUGUGAACGCUGCACUGCGUAAGCACAAUAAGCAAGUCUCAGGUCUGAGCUGAACAGUUUUCCCUUGCAUAUGCCAUAUGUACAGCUGAAUUCAAUAAAAAAGUAAUCUUCGACCUGCCAGACGACUUUGAGAGAAACCUCUUAAGAAUACCAAUUAUUCCUAAUUAAGUGUAAACUUUCAGAUUGCUUACUGAGAAAAAUCCACAAUUAAAAAAAAAAUAAAAAAAUUUUGCAAGCACAAUAGUAUCUGUAAUGAGCAGUAUGAACAAAAACUGAUACGGACAAUAAAACAGAGUUUGAACUGAUAA